ensembl:lncRNA
UCCCUAGUUUGCAGAGUGAAGGCACUGGCCCAAAGCACCUUCAGUUUCCUGAGGGCCCGGCUGACCAUGCAGCGCCCCGCUGCUCAAGGCUCCACACAGGUUCUGGGUGCUGAGAUCCUGAGGACAGUGAGAGGGAUCACAUUUUCACCAAGCCCAGGCCCCUGGCCAGGAGCCCUGGGAGGCCGCCCAGCCCCUCAUCCUCACAGACAAUGACAGAUCCAUCUUCAAAGCACGGAGCACAGGCUGGGCCCUGUCGGCGAUUCCUGCCAGCACUCAGCGUGCCCUGUGGGGUGAAUGCUCAAGUCAAUCCAGUGUAGCAAAUAUUGUCUGACCAUCUACCCACAUGUGGGGCACGAGCGUGGUAGCAAGAGGAAAGGGGAGUUGAUGUGGCUCCUGCUCCAUGAGCCCCACUCUCCAGGGAGGGGAGGAUAACUGGAUGAAUCUGUGAACAAGAACCAAACUAGAAAACAGCAGCCUCUGCAUCUUCUGAAUACCCAUGGAGCAGGAACACUAAGGGAAGUUCUGUGAAAGGGUCUGCCCGUGGCCUGGGCUCUAAGAGAUCAUGCAUUUCAACAAAUGCCAACAGCAUCACACGUGGCAUCAUCCAGUGGCACCACACAGGCCUGGGAGAGCCAGGUCUGUGAGCGUCACUCUGUCCGGCAUAGUCUGUGCAGGCCAGCGAGUGCUGCCGCACACUGUGAAACAAAAACUCCAACAGCAGCAAGCACGUGUGUCCUGCUCACAGGUCGCAAGUCGGCUGAAGCGUCUCUGCUCUCACUGGGGUCUGCUCACAUGCUCAUUCCAGGGCUCAGGCUGAAGGAGCAGUCGCCGCCCGGGCCUACCCCUCUCAAGGUGCAAGGCAGGGGGACGAAAGGCCAGCACAGCCACACGACGGUGGGAGCCUCGGUUGCAGCUGAAACAUCUUAUGUCCGCCCUCAUUCCGCGGGCUGCAGCAGGUCAUGAGGCAAGUCUUUGGGACGAAGAAGUGCACUCUGUCCAGAAUACACCUUGCCAAGGAUGGGGAGGGAAGGAAAACUGAAAAAUUGAUACGACCUGCUUAACAGACGGCGGCCAGGACGUCAUAGCCGUUGAAACUGGAAACAGACUGGACCUUGUAUGGGAGAGGCUGGGUUGUUCACUAAACUUUCCCUCCUGGACACAGAACCGGACUACAUUUCCCGGCUUCGUUUGUAGCUCGUGUCUGAAUCUGGCCAGGGAAGUGGGGAGACGAUGAACUCUACUCCCAGGCCCAGACGGUUAAACCUCCUACACCAUCCUCCGUUCUUUCCUCAUCUGCUGGGUAGAUACACAGAAUCUAGCUGAGGACCCUGAAGCCCAAGAUGACAGCAGAGACACAUGGGCCCCUCAGUCACCGCUUGGGGGACAGUCACCAGGAGACACCCAGGUUAGUCUGCCUAGGGAAUUGUGGGCACACUUUUCUAGUGUCAAGUCAGAGAUUUGGGGAUUGUUUGUUACAGCAGUUGAUCUCCCUACUGUUACCUCAUGUCACAGAGGCCCCAGGGUGUGGCUCAGUGGGGCUAAGUCAGGAAGGCCUGGGCUGAAAUAUCCACCCUAGCACUUUUCAGUGGGAUCACCUUGAGCAAACUGCUAUACCUCUCUAGACCUUAAUUUUUCAUCUUUAAACAGGGAUUCAUAGUUCCUACCUCAAAAGAUAUAUUAAUGACAAACUCCAUCACUAAACCAGGUGAGGAGUCUUACUGAGUCCCAGCAGGUGGCCCCACUGGCCCAGAAGUUUACAAGAGGCUUUCAGGAGGUGGGAAGCCACCACAUGGCAUGUUGAGGGGUAAGUCUUCCUGGGGGCUCGCUCUGCUCAGGGCAGGGACUGGGGGGCAGGAUGCCCUUCAGGGCUGGGAAAAGCCACAGCGCAGGAGGGGCGGGUCCUCUGCUUUGCUG